rnacentral:rRNA from 1 species
GUGCCAGCAGCCGCGGUAAUACGUAGGGUGCGAGCGUUGUCCGGAAUUACUGGGCGUAAAGAGCUCGUAGGUGGUUUGUCGCGUUGUUCGUGAAAUCUCACGGCUUAACUGUGAGCGUGCGGGCGAUACGGGCAGACUAGAGUACUGCAGGGGAGACUGGAAUUCCUGGUGUAGCGGUGGAAUGCGCAGAUAUCAGGAGGAACACCGGUGGCGAAGGCGGGUCUCUGGGCAGUWACUGACGCUGAGGAGCGAAAGCKUGGGGAGCGAACAGGAUUAGAUACCCUGGUAGUCCACGCCGUAAACGGUGGGUACUAGGUGUGGGUUUCCUUCCUUGGGAUCCGUGCCGUAGCUAACGCAUUAAGUACCCCGCCUGGGGAGUACGGCCGCAAGGCUAAAACUUAAAGGAAUUGACGG